rnacentral:lncRNA from 1 species
CUGUCAGGAUAGAUAGUCAGUCAGUCAGUCUGUCAGGUCACUGUGUCAGUCAGUCUGUCAGUCUGUCAGGAUAGUCAGUCAGUCAGGUCACUGUGUCAGUCAGUCUGUCAGGUCACUGUGUUAGUCAGUGUAUUUGGUCAGUCAGUCAGUCUGUCAGGAUAGUCAGUCGGUCAGUCAGGUCACUGUGUCAGUCAGUCUGUCAGGAUAGUCAGUCGGUCAGUCAGGUCACUGUGUCAGUCAGUCAGUCUGUCAGGAUAGCCAGUCGGUCAGUCAGGUCACUGUGCUAGUCAGUCUGUCAGUCAGUCUGUCAGGUCACUGUGUUAGUCAGUGUAUUUGGUCAGUCUGUCAGGAUAGUCAGUCGGUCAGUCAGGUCACUGUGUCAGUCAGUCAGUCUGUCAGGAUAGUCAGUCGGUCAGUCAGGUCACUGUGUCAGUCAGUCUGUCAGGUCACUGUGCUAGUCAGUGUGUCAGUCAGUCAGUCUGUCAGGUCACUGUGUCAGUCAGUGUAUUUGGUCAGUCUGUCAGGAUAGUCAGUCAGUCAGUCAGUUCACUGUGUCAGUCAGUGUAUUUGGUCAGUCUGUCAGGAUAGUCAGUCAGUCAGUCAGGUCACUGUGUCAGUCAGUCUGUCAGGAUAGAUAGUCAGUCAGUCAGUCUGUCAGGUCACUGUGUCAGUCAGUCUGUCAGUCAGUCAGUCUGUCAGGUCACUGUGUCAGUCAGUCGGUG